rnacentral:rRNA from 1 species
UACGUAAGGAGCAAGCGUUGUCCGGAUUUACUGGGCGUAAAGAGCUCGUAGGCGGCCGAUCAGGUCUCGCGUAAAAUCCCCCGGCUCAACCGGGGAGAGUCGCGGGAAACCGACCGGCUUGAGGACAGAAAAGGAAAGUGGAAUUCCCGGUGUAGCGGUGAAAUGCGUAGAUAUCGGGAGGAAUACCAGUGGUGAAGACGGCUUUCUGGUCUGUUUCUGACGCUGAGGAGCGAAAGCCAGGGGAGCGAACCGGAUUAGAUACCCGGGUAGUCCUGGCCGUAAACGAUGGAUACUAGGUGUGGGAGGUUCGACCCCUUCCGUGCCGCAGCUAACGCAUUAAGUAUCCCGCCUGGGGAGUACGGCCGCAAGGUUGAA